rnacentral:lncRNA from 1 species
GCAAUCUAUUUUCUCUUUGGUUCCAUCUUUUUAUCCGUACUGAUAUGGUUAAUCGAGAUCUCUUUAUCAUCGAUGAUUUACUUAGGUACCUGACUAUUAUAUUAACCAUAUCAACGGUCUCAUCAUGAGAUUAAUCCUCUAUUCAUAUAUUUGCUCCUUUUCGAGGACUCUUUGGAACCAAAGUGGUCUAUCACGUCUCUAGCGUGCCAUAGACUCAUAUAUCGUCCGU